AACUACAGGAAGCGAGGGAGCACGAAGAGCAGGGAGGACCACAAUAAACUGUUGGUCCCGAUGAGGCGUUAUGUCACAGCCGCCCCUGCCAAUCAGGUGCUGUUGUCGAGGGAGAACGGAGCAGCAAAGCAGAGGAAAGGAAGUAGGAAGGGUGUAGAGGAGGAAGGGUUUGGUGUGUCCUGUGGUCUGCCUGGUGUAGAUUAUGGGUGUGUUCCUCUGCCCAGACGUUGCUGACGCAUUACAGAUCUAACUACACCUGGCAAGGUACUGUAUUUUACAUAUCAGAUAACCACAACAUAUGUUAUAGCAAUCUGUCUAACGAUGACGUGGCAUCCGACCAUUGGUUGAUGCAUGUAAAGUCUGAGCAGGGGAAUGUGACCAAAACACGGUUGUUAAAGGCUCUCCUCCUUCUGAACAGCGAUGAGAUCCAGAUCACCAUACCUCCGUGUUUAGUUCAUUUUCUUGGCCUGAACAACAACCACCACGAGUUGUGAUAAAGGGGGAACUAGUUGGAGUGUGUCGGUGCUGGAAUGCACUGAUCCUGGGGAUGAGAGAGGGCUGGGCUGCUGCUUUGCCAUCUGCCCCUUUGUGUGAGAGGCUGGAGGGUGCAGGGAGGGGGUGGGCACAACAAGUGGCAACCCAUAACAAAUGAGAAAGGUGGAGACAGCUAGUGGUGGAAUGCAAAGAUUCAAUGGUGACCACAUGUUUUGUCUCCCGUUUGUUUUAUUCCCAGGUUAUUUUUCCACCCUUUUUUCUUUUAGCCAUGAUUUGAAUUGUUUCAUUAAAACAUGCAUGAAUGAGUGAAUUAUCA